AGCCGCCCGAAGGAGAGGGGCGCCGUGCGCGGGCAGCCCUCCUGCAUCCAGAAAGCGCCGCUGCCGCGCCCACCCCCCGCGGGAGAGAAGCCGACAGGUACGCCGACAGCUGGCCAUAUCAUCCAAGUCAUACUCAUGACCGUAUCAUAUCAUAAGCUGAUCAAAUGCUGUCUCAAAACUAAUAAAGUGAAGAGGAUCCUAAUGGGACCCAGAGGAAGGAUUUUACAAAGCUUUCUCUGCACUCAUCCAUAAGUUUGCCCGUUCAAAAAUGGGUCAGGAGUGAAACCCUCGGGUCUGAGAGGGUAUCGCGCAGUCAUUGAAGAACUCAACAUUGCUUCAUAGAACUGAGGCCCAUGCAUGUACAAAACCUGAAGUAUAAAUCAGUGUGUAUUAGCAGAGUUACUUGGAGAAAGUUGUGGAAGUUGGAAGAGGAAGGCUCAAGGGCUGCGUAGGAUGAAAUGCCAACCUCUAGAACGUUAUGGAUGUAUUCAUCCUUCAGAGAUGAGGUUAUCCUCAUCCCCAUCAUGGUCUGCAGGUACAACAUAGAAUUCUUCAGCAUGCCCUGCACAUUUUGGUCACUGUCAGAGGAAGAGAAGACAAACAUCUUCCCAUACUUGCACUGUGCAAUAUGAAGCUGUUCUCCUUCCCUGUGGGUCCUCCCCAGUUGGUCGCUCUUGUGGGAUCUUCUUUCAUAAGUGAUGGGAGGAGAGCAGGGACUGUGACAGAAGGCACAGCUUAUCUUAGAACUGUUGUGGGAUUUAGCACUCAGAUACACAGUAGAGACACCACUGUUGUCUCAAUUACAUGCUUACUAUUUUCAUAUUUCAUGAAUGGAAAUGCAAUUUAAGGCUGCAAGGUGCACAAAGACAUGCAGAAAAGAGGUGCAUUUCAAAACCAGGCUACAAGAUGAGUUCUUAACUCAACCCCGCUAAAUAUAUAGGUAGAGUGCAAAGCGUCUCCCAGCGGCUACAGAACAUAAAGAUGUUGCAGAUUCCACUCAGCUCUCAAACCCUGAUGCUGCACUUCAUGGACAAUUCUAAGGCAGAGCAUUGCUGUUACUGGAAAAGACAAUGGGAGCACUGUGCCUGAAAUUUCCAUGCAACUUUCUGAAAACACACAGCUGUUUGUUUCUCAUUUUAAACUUCAUAACCGAUGCAAAUAUUUCCAUGUGUACUUUUGGCAAAGUGCCAGUGCUUCGGAAGCUUGGUUUUGAUACUCCUGAAAAAUAGGGAUUAAAAAAAAAAAAAGGAAGGAAAAAAGCAAAUGAAGAGGAAAAAGCAACAGCACCACCCUGCUGCCACCUCUUUGCCAACCGGAUAACAACCAAAGAUUGCUCAAGGAGAUGCACUUACAUAACCGCCAGCCAACAAAUAGGUUUGUUCCAAAAGCCAGCAGAAAUGGAAAAAAAAAUAGGGUAAAGCACGUUCUUCUUUUGCCCUCAGCUCAAGGAUGGCUCUUUUCAGUUUUGUUAAAAAGAAUUAGAGAACAAUAAGAAUGCUUUAACAUUCCUGGUAGUGAGGUACGGAGCAGGGGUCUGUAGAGCCAGUGGAAAAAUCGCUUCCAUGAGUGAUGGUUUGUCUCAUGGCAGCCAUCCAACUGAGGUCAGGAGGGACUUGGAGAGAUUGUUCAGCCCAGUGAUGACAAAACCUUGGCACAGGCACCGGGUCUGUAGCUGACAUAGAUUUGGGCUGGCACCGGGACCUCUGAGUCACAACGGCAAUAAAUUUGGCACUAAGCACCAAAAAUACAUCCUUGGUCCCCGGGCCAGUCUGGCCCAGGUCUGAAUGCAUGCAAACAUCUGGUGACAAAUACUUGCCGUCACGUUCUGCACAGUCCUGGUGAGGAUUCCGUAACAGUCCCAGAUGAGCUGUUACCAGGGCUUCACUCCUGUCCAUGCUCUGCCAAAAUCAUUUUGCUGCAGUUGAAGUUCUUUUCUUCUUUCCUUCUCCCAGCAUCCAUCGAGAACAGCUGGCUGUUGUCCUCCUGGUGAUAACAUAUUCCAUAUGGGAAACUAUCACCUUAAUUCCCCUGGAGCUUUUCUCAUCUAGGUUACAAAACCUUGUUCUUUCACCCUUUCAAUACCGAUCACUGAUGCACGUGCUUUACUCUCUGUAAGAAGUUGGUGUAAAUGUCUCGUAGGAGACUUUAUGAAAGGAGAAGGUGGUGUUGGUUUUCAAAAUCUGUGAGUACAUUGGCUUUACCCCUCACAACCACUUUCUCCGUGAUUUCAUUCCCUUACACUCCCACUCCCACAUGCUCACAGGAGCCAAGAUGUGUUCAGGCAGUCUGUUUGCAGUCACCUAUGUGUAACAGAGGACAAAGUGGUUGUGGAGUCCCCUCCUUGGAGGUCUUCAGCAGCUGACAGGGUGUGGGCCUGGGCACGCUGCUCUGGGUGUCCCUGCUGAGCAGUUUGGGCCUGGUGGACCCAGAAGUCCCAUCUUAACCAUGCUGGAAAUGGAUGCCAGUUAUCACAUCACAUCCCUUGGGCAAUGGCAAACUGGUUUUCAGACAGGUCUCAUACUCUUGAAAUGCCAAAGGUUAGUGUGGCACAAUUAUUUUGCAUCCGAAGUUUGCUGACUUUCAUCUCCACAGAUUCUGCCUAAUGGCCACAGGCCGUAUUCUGGUUGGGCUGAAAGGAACAGGAAUGGCAUACAUCAUGUGCUGGAACCUUGUUUCUAUCUUCCUGUUGUCAGAGUGCCGGGUCUCCUGCUGAGAGGUGCCCUAUGCUUUGAUUUUACAGGAGCGCAGGCCUUCUGGGCUUAACAUGGACAACAUUCCUCUAUUUCUUUCUAUUUCCUCUAUUUCCUCUGCUGUGGACUAUGCCCUUCUUUAUAAACAUAGCCCUUUUUCACAUUGUUCUUCCAUUCCUUUUUGUGCUCAUGCAGCUAUACCCUCUCACAUUUCUAACAUCUUAAUACUCCUUAAGUUUUAGACUAAUUUCUGCAGUGCAGUUGUCAGGUUAUUUCCCUGCUUGUCCUUUGGCAUUUGAUUUGUUCCUGAGUCGACACUUGCUGCCCUUACUUUUGUACUAUUAUUUCCUUCUUUGAUCAACUCUUUCUCAUCUGUCAGGAUAACAUGGAAUUCAGAUGUUGCCUCUCACGGUGCUUGCAAAAUGCUGAGAGACAAAAUGCAUGCUGCUUGAACCACAGUCAUAGCAGAAUAAAGUCCAGGAGCAACAAUAGGCAUACAGGCAGCAAAUUUGAAGGACUGGAAAGUUAAGUGUACUUAAGAAAAAACUUGGAAAGAGUUUUCUGGGAAAGCUAUCAAUGAUUGGAAGAUAUUUAUUAAACCCACUGCCUCCAAUCAUAUCAGUGCAGGCAAAGUAUAGGAAGAAAAGCAGCAGACAAAUAUUACUGCAUGAAGUGUUCUUUAAAGAGAUGAAGGUCCCGGUGGUCCAUCACUGUGGGAUUCAUUGCAGAAUGGAGAAUAUAGCGGUCUUCUUAUUUUGUAUUCUUAGGUAGAAUGGAAGAAGUAAUUAUCCUAGAGACCAAACAAAUGUUUAUUUUGUAUUUCAUAAAGCAUUACACUUUUCAAUAGCUGCUGGAUAUGGUACUUCUGUGCCUGGCAGUGGGUGCAUUUUAAAGCAUGGCUGAAAGUUUGCAACUCACUAACAGAAAAGAAAGUGUUUGAAAUGUGUUAUUAGACAGCCUGCAAAGCCUCUGAUCUAUGGUAGAAAUAAAAUCAGAGAGAAACAGAACAAAACAAAAUAAAAUAAAACAUUCCUUCACUGCAAGAAAUUCCCACAGGUACAGGAAGUUUUUCAGGAAUGUUCCACAUUAAAAGCCAGUAAAAGAAAAUGUGGGAGCAUGUAGCUUCAGUUCCCAACCCGUGUGUGUUUCCCAGCACUGUUCAGUGCUUACAGUCUUUUCCAGUCAAAAGAAAGAAAGAAGUACUGUGAAGAGUUCUGAGUUCAUUUUGUUUCAUCAGCUCCUUCUGUUUAUUUCAGUGUGAUUCAAAGAUAGGCAGAACAGUGAGGCAUUAGGGGAAAUUAAACUUAUCCAGACCCUGUACAGCUGUAGUAUUUUUCUUUAAUUUGGUCAUGUUUCCUAUUGUACGUAAUCCUACCAGUCUUAUUUCACUCUCUUGCUUGCAGCCUUCGGUCUGAGAUGACAACUUCAGUCUCUCUUGCCCUCUAUUGAAGUAAAUUGGUAAUAACAAUUGCCAAUAAAAUGUGAGCUGUAAUGCAUAAAAGAGGAUAUAAAUAAUUGAUCUCAGCCCACUGAUGUGUGUAAUUACUUUAUAUGGAAGGCUCGUAAAUGUUGCCAAAUCUUCUGCUGGCUCCUACCUAUGUGUUCAUGCUACCUUCUUUCACAGGCUGUGCAUAGAAUGGUAAUUAUAUGGAAAACAGCCUUAUGUUUUUGACAUGUUUAAUAGAAAGCUUUUAAUUCUUAGGAAACAUCUACCCGUGACCAAUGUGUAUCUUGGAAUGAUAGACUGAGAGUUCAAAUACUCUUAUUUUUACAAAGAAAUGUCUGAACUCCAACAGUUUAGGAUAUUUAAACUUCAUGGAGUUCAUGAGGUUGUUUAACCAAGUGAAUUAUGAGCAAUUAAAUACAUCCAUUUCAUUUGCAGUUUACUGUACUCGUUUUAUGAUAUUUUAAUUGCACUUACAAAACACUUACAAAACAGCUUAGUCCCAUGUGUGUGUAGGUAUCCCAAAGUUACAAGAAGUGGCUCCAGUAAAUCUCACCCGUCCCUCAAAGAGGAACACAUUCUCCAUUAUCCUGGCUUACCCUGCAGGCCUUCACUACACCACAAACUUCAAUACAGGUAGGUGAAAUGGAGGGCAAACUCACCUGCUGUGGCUCAAUGGUUCACAUUUAGCAUGUUAUGAAGACAACAACGCCUUACAAAGCCUGUGCAGGUCCUUCUGCAAGGUGCUGCCCCUCAUAUGGCAUGCUGCCUAAGACAAACUGAGGUCUCUGGGCAUCAUACCCAACUGAUGGAGAAGGUGUGCCCUGCGCCUGUGAGGCUGCAAACAAAUUUUGGCCUUUUUGUUCAGAUUUUGUUGGUGUUAAGGUCAGAAGGGGUCACCAUGCCACAGUCAGACUAACGCAGGCUACAUCUCCUCCCCAUCGCCACAUCUCCCCUCACUGCGGUGGCUGGUGCAAUGCAUGCUGCAGAUAUUCCUGCUGUACUUCCAGAGGGAUAAGGAGAGCUCUUCCGUGUGCUUUCAGACAGGCUGUGCUUGUGGUAAGCAGAGUGCUUUCAGUGACUGCACUUGUACAUCUCCCCCACUACUCGCAAGCGCAGAUAUUCCAUUAAAAAUUGAAGAGAGGGGAAGGAAGAAGAAUGCUGAAAUCAGCCCUUCAAUUAGAUAGGGGAAGAGUUAAUUUCAAAAUAGUUCACAGUACUUUUAAGGGUAAUUAGGUUCUAUGCUGUGGCCGUGAAACAAUCUUAAAAUAACUUGUCAACAGUGGUAUCCUGUUGAGAUAGAAUAGGACCUUCUGGUUUUAAUGAAAAAACCUGGCAAUCAAGCUUCCUAUGUCUUUACUUGUAGCUGAAAGCAUGAAUAUAAACACACAAGUGAAUGCUUAGUAACGGUUCGAUUCAUGUUUGUGUUUCUGAUACUCAGCAGUUCCUCCCAACAGGUGCUGCAGGUGGGCUUUUGUAGAGAGAGGCUCCAAGCUCCUUUGGCUCUUUCUUUUCCAGCAGAAGGGAAAUACCUUUCUACUAUUUCUGGGGGGUUCUGCUGCAGCUGCUCUUAAUUUGCAGUGGUUCUUAAUCUAACCUGCAGCAACAUUCACAUCACUGGGUUGUUCUGCUGUUAGGUGCUCCCUGCCUGUGAUCAUGUAACUGUGUACAUCAGUAGACUCCACAGUUCAUGAUAUGAGAGUAUUCUGUGACCGUCAGGCUUUAAUGCUUGUCCAAGAGCUGCAGGAGCAUGUGUCUGUAAGUGCAUAUGAACUCUCCUUCCUCUGUUCUGCAGAAGAAGUGGUCUUGUCACCAGUCCUUCCUCCUCCGCUAUGCUAUGGCAUGUUGUACCUCAGUGCUCUUCACCUUUAUUUCAGAAGUGAUUUUGACAGGCAGGUAAGGAGAGACCUGAUAUUCCUCAAAGAGUUGGAAGGAGGGAUACUUCUGUAAUGCUGGCUUUGAGCCCCAGGAGGGAUAUGCUCUGCAAAGUCUCUGUAUUGCACUUGAAAGAGAAGUUGAUCCUUUUUCAUGUAUCUUCCAUGUCAUAGAAAAUGUAAGAUAGAUAAACAUUCUUUCUUACUACUAUGAAGCAUUUAAAAUAUAUAUAUAUACACUCAUGUAUAUACACUCUGUAUAUGCACAUACACGGAGUGAGGUUUUCUUAACAUCAAGGUAUCAGUCAGCUUUAAGGAGCUGUUUUCUUCUUUCCUUAUGUCAUUUUUGUCUUUUAUUUUCCAUCAAAAAGUAGCUUCUGUGAGCCUUAAGAUGUUAGUUAGGUAGGAUUGAUACCACAGAAUCACAGAAUGGCUGAUGCUGGCCGGGACCUCAAGGUCUGUGAACACAACCGCUGCUCAGCAGGGACACCCAGAGCAGGGUGCCCAGGCCCACGUCCAGGCAGCUGCUGAAGAUCUCUGGGGGAGACUCCAAAAUGUCUCUGGGCAGCCUGUGCCGGUGCUCUGUUACCUGCACAGCACAGUCCCUGGUGUUCAGAGGGAACCUCCUGCGUUCCUGUUUGUGCCCAGUGCCUCCUGUCCUGGUAUCAAGCACUACUGACAAGAGCCUGGUUCCAUCUCUGCACGCUCCCUUCAGGUGUUUAUGAACACUGAUGAGAUCCCCUGAGCCUCCUUUUCUCCAGGCUGAGCAACCAGCUCUCUCAGCCUCUCCUCACACGAGAGAGAGGUGCUCCUGUCCUUUGUCAUCUUGGCCCUGAGUUGGACUCUCCCCGCUACAUCCAAGUCUCUCAGGCUGAAAGGGCCUAGAAUUGGACCCAGCUCUCCAGUGGCAGCCUCACAGCAGAGGGGAAGGGUGAUUUCCCUUGACGUCCUGCUGAUGCUUUGCUCGUGCAGCGCCGGUCAUCGUCAUCCUCCUGUGCAGCAGGGGCACCUGACUGGCUCUCUUUCAUAUCAUUUAUCAGACACAAGUAGGAAAGGAAACGUACCAGGCUUAUAAUUUCUCAAGGAAGAUUGGACCACAGGCUUACUUAACCUUCCUUUUUCCUUGUGUUUGACACCUACUAUGAUUUUAAAGCAAGGAUUUUGGUAUGUUUGUUUCUGCAUCUUGUCACUUCAGGUUCUUCAGCACAGGCAGGAACUCAACGCUUUUGGCUCCUGGGAUCUGAUUUUGUAACAGUUUCCUCCUUUGGCCACUUUCCAGAAAAUCACCUAGGAAACCCAAGUACCAGUUUCCAUGGUCACUUAGGAGAGAACAUGUUUCCUACUAUUGCAUAGUGUAUCGGUACCAGGAAACACACAAGCUUUUUGCCUGACCCAGGUGCAUAAAAAUUCAUGAGCAAGAAAGCAUUCACCUGUUGUUUGAUGUGAAAAGCACACUGGACCACAAAAGCAGUGAUAGCAGGUUAAACUGUUCCUGACUGCCACUGGGGGAUCAAAGGAUAAUCAUCUGGAUGGGGAGCCAGGUGAAUUCCUCUGAGAGGCAAAGAAAUGUUCCAGUGUGGUGUGCGAAGACCUGAAGUUCCUUCUCUUUAUUAUUGUAUGCACUGCAACUGAAGCAUCUUCUUAUCAGAUAUUGUAUUCAGUCUAGGAGGAAUAUAGCACAUCCUUCAAGUUUUUUCUUAGCUUGACCGUUUCCCUUCCAUCUCAAAACGAUUUUUCUACUGUAAAGUGCCAUACUCACAGAGUUCCUUACGGAAACAAGGUAACUAACCAUAGAGUCCAAGAUACUGAUGAACAUCACAAAAUGUACAUCACAAAAUGAUCGAGGACAUAUUGUGAUCCUGCAGAGUAUCAGAAAAUCUGUUUCAGAUUUUGCAGCAAUUUUCCAGAUCUGCUAUUUGAAGCCAAUGGGACUGCUUAGUGAACAGCAGCUCUACUCAUUGCAAUUGGAAAUGAAUGCCUCAAAGUAAGAAAUCUUCUUCCCCAUUCACAGGCAUAACCAGUCAUAAGUGAAUCUUUUACACCAAAUCAGUACAGCUCCUGCUUCCUCAUUUUUACUCUUCUUAACCUUCCAUUCUGAAGCAAAAUUGUUAGAGGAACAAUAGAUCCAAAGUCAAAUACCACAAGAACAUUUUCUAAUAAAUUUGAUGUUUUGGCAGUGGGAUGUGAGUAGAGCCAGGCCACUGCCAAAGCACAGAAGGCUAUGAACAGAUCUGAGCUAUCUUUCACAUUUUCCUGAAGCAUACAGAAACUAAGUUGUACAAUUCUGUGGCCAUUUCAAAAGCAAUUUAAAUCAUAGCUCUCAGGCAAUAGCAUUCAGAUUGUUUGGGGCAUGUUCCAUUCAUGCUGGAUAGCCCAUUAAACCAUGCUAAGUCUUACAGCACAGCAUCCGUGGAAGUUGCUGUUCCUUGAUCAGCCAGUUUCCCACUACACGAUACCCUUACAGAACACCUAAGAUGACUUUACUGUCUUUGUAUUGCCAUCAGCAGCUUUCUUUCUCUUGAAUGCAGACGAUGGUGUUCAGUAACAACAGCUCAAGUGAAGUGCUCACUUCUGCAUUGGUCACUUUUGUGUGUAUCCUACAGAGCUUUGGAUAGAGUUACAACCUUUUACUGUUAACAGGCAAGAGGAAAAACAACUUUGCUUGCAUUAAAAUAUGAGUUCCCUUCAGAAACUUCUAUCUACACCUUCACAACCUGCUUUUUUUUUUUUUUUUGCAAUGCCACCAGCAUACCUUAGUACUACAUAAAUUAUCAAGUUUAGUUACUGAUACAGUCAACUCUAUGGAAACAUAAUGGCAUAACCUUCAUCCUACCAUGUUUGCAGUAAGGGCUGGAUGUGCCUCCAGACUCCCAACAGUUUGUGUCACUCUUAGCGAUUUUAUUUUGAUGAGUGAUACACUCCGAUUGCCCUAUGCAUUAACUGUUCCAGAAACAUUUGACACUUGGCCAGGCUCCCUAAUCUUUAUUUACUUUGCUGGGAGAUUACCUUCUUUCUCAUUAUCCAUCCCUAUACCACAAACAUCUGCUUCUCUUAAGUAGACAAGACUAAUAUUAAUUCUGUUAAAGAAGAACAUUUCUGCUAAAUUUCUUUCUAAUAAUCUGCUAUUUUCUGGUGGAGGAACUUGGACUGGCUGUAGGAAUGUGCCCUAUUAAACUAUUUGUCACUCCUUGUAAAAAGACAUUAAAAAUAAUUAAACAACA